rnacentral:rRNA from 1 species
AGUGAACGCUGGCGGCGUGCUUAACACAUGCAAGUCGAACGAGAACGGAAUAUAGCUUGCUAUAUUUGUCAGCUAAGUGGCGCACGGGUGAGUAAUGUAUAGAUAACCUGCCCUUAAGAAAGGAAUAACAGUUGGAAACGACUGCUAAUGCCCUAUAUGCCUUUAAUACAUAAGUAUGCAAGGGAAACGCUUUAGUGCUUAAGGAUGGGUCUGUAUGGUAUCAGCUUGUUGGUGAGGUAAUGGCUCACCAAGGCUAUGACGCCUAACUGGUUUGAGAAGAUGCUCAGUCACACUGGAACUGAGACACGGUCCAGACUCCUACGGGAGGCAGCAGUGGGGAAUAUUGCACAAUGGACGAAAGUCUGAUGCAGCAACGCCGCGUGGAGGAUGACACAUUUCGGUGCGUAAACUCCUUUUAUAUAGGAAGAUAAUGACGGUACUAUAUGAAUAAGCACCGGCUAACUCCGUGCCAGCAGCCGCCGUAA